rnacentral:lncRNA from 1 species
UGAUACCAAAAAAAAUCUCCAAAUCGCAUUCUAUUACUCCAUACCCCAAAUCACCAGCUCACCAAAAUCGCCAAAAAUCAUCAUCCUUCUAUAUUUCAUUUCAAGAAAACCAUAAUCCAUAUUUAGAAUCAAUAUCUUCGAAUUUGGAGAUUCACAAAACAUUAUAUCUCGUAAAUAUUUCCUGUUAUUCUCAUAUUAUCUUGGGUGAUUCUAGGGAUAUAUUGUUAAUAUAAAACCAUGGUGCUUCUAUUCAUCCAAUAAUCACCUCCAAAAAACUCACAAAUACUAGUUUAUUUUCAGAUCAAGGUUGAAGCACAAAUUCUAAGCAUCCAACAAAUCAGGUCGAGUCAUGCCUACCUCUUUUGCUAUAUACCCCUCUUUCUUACACCUCAAGAACUGAAGAGCCGUGGUGAAAAUGUUAGAUUUCACAUUUCAUCUAAAUUGUCUGUUAGGUUUUAAAUGUUAGCUUUCACAUUUCAGCUUAAUUGGUUAAUACGAUUUGAACAUUGCCCUCAUCAUAUAUGAUAUGUAUCAGGUGUUUAUAAAUUUGUCGACCAUUACAUGUGUAUCCACUAGUUAUAUUCAUGCACUUGGCUUAAUACCCUGCAACUUGUAAUUUUUGUCACAUUCACCUCAACUGCAACUAUAGGUUAUAUGUGAUCAAUUAUGCUGAAUUCAUCAUAACCCAAAAAGCACACUCCAUGGCAGAAAACAUCGAUGGGAAGUGUUGAUACACAAAAGUUCAGCCCAAAUCGAAUAGCUCAAGGAAUG